rnacentral:rRNA from 1 species
UACGAAGGGGGCUAGCGUUGUUCGGAAUUACUGGGCGUAAAGGGCGCGUAGGCGGUGUGUCAAGUCAGGCGUGAAAGCCCCGGGCUCAACCUGGGAACCGCGCUUGAGACUGGCACGCUCGAGUUCGGGAGAGGAUGGUGGAAUUCCCAGUGUAGAGGUGAAAUUCGUAGAUAUCAGGAGGAACACCGGUGGCGAAGGCGGGUCUCUGGGCCGAUACUGACGCUGAGGAGCGAAAGCAUGGGUAGCGAACAGG